GCUCAAUUGGAGGUUGUUCUGUGCUACUCUGGAGUCUGAGACCCACCCUGGCCAACAUGAAGAGACACCAGGUCGAUUGUGUUCAAGAUCUCGGCCCAUUUUGUCAUAUUGGGCUGUACCUGGAUUCUGGGCCUGUACCAGUCAAACCUUUUCUUCCGGAUCCUCCUCACAAUUUUUAACUCCCAGCAGGGCAUCUUUCUCUUCGUCGUCCUGUGUGUGCUCAACAAGGAGGUGCGAGAGGAGUACAUGAGAUGGCUGACAUGCUCUUUUGGAAAGAACAGAGCUAGAGAUGCACCUUCAAUCUCUGAGGAUUUGGACAAGGAUGAGGGUAAAAAAGGAUGAAUCCUGAUGAUAUAAAAAGGAGAACAGAGGCAAAAAUCAUCUGUAUGAAGUUAUGAUUCACCUUUUUAUAAACUGUAGUUUAAUAAAUGCAAAAAGAAGUAAAUGUCUACAUAUUAAAUAUAUCCUCAUCCUAUGCUAGCCAGACUGAAUGUGACUCUUUCACACUUUUGCUAAAUAUCUUUUAAUUUAUGUAGCUUAUUCAAUUCAGUUUGACAAUCCUACGCAACAUAUUUUAAAAACAUACAAUAUACCCAGUACAUUAACACAACAUAUUAAAAUAAUGCACACCAGGGCUUUAAGAAAUACAUUUUUACAAUCAGGGCUGUAUAUAAGAAGUCUUUAUGGUGUUAUUGACUACAGAGAAGGCUCACCAUCGCUCCUCCUUAUUCAUUUGCUUGUGUGGGAGCUUCCAUAAACACACCAUGAGUCAGACACAGACUAAAAAAACAAACUUUCUUUAAAGCAAAAACAUUCAUGUCUUAGUUGUUUCUUCUCUUUCCAUUUGUAUUCUAUUUACAUGAGAGCUAGGACACUUCGAGGCGUGUCAAACUUUACAAGACAAAUUUUAAGGGACAGCCAAACAGAUUCUAUUUGAUUUACAAUGUUUGACGUUAAAGUCUCUUUACCUCAUACAUGAAUAAAAAAAAUAGCAUACAGUGGUCACAGAAGCAUAAUUACAUUAACAUUGCCCAGUAACAUAAGAAAACACCCAGGAAUGCAAUCACAUAGUUGAAACAUGUGUACUGUAGUACUAUACAGUGCCUGUAUACCAAUCAGGUCUCUAUAAGACAUGCAUUCAAUGAAAUACACAACAAAAAAUACAAAUGUUUGUUGGAUUUCACACAAUUUAAUAAAGCUAUUGCAGUUUUAUCCUACUGGUAAUGUUGCUCUGUGGAACAGCUCUUGUUAAAAAGGCCCUAUCAUGCUGUUUGGGGUUUUCCCUUUCCUGAUGUUUGUGUUUAUAUAGGUUUUUGUGCAUGUAAAUGGUCUACAAAGGCUAAAAUUCAAAUGUCCCCCCCUUAGGGAGUUUCUCUCCCACAUACUCAUCCCCUCUGCCAAAAAUGCCUCUAUUAGAUUCAAUUAUUUUAGUUCUGUUACACAGGGACAUCACUAUGUGGUUGACCAGUGUAACAGAGGUAGCCAGCUAACCAAUCAGAGCAGACAGGGCUCUGGUUUCAGACCGAGGGGGAAAAGAGGUGCUGCAGCACAGACAGUAUGAGAAACAUAAAGACCUUUUUGAACAUUAAAGACUGUAAAUAUCUCACAGUAGAGGAUCAAAAUACAAAUAUGAACCUGAAAAUGAACAUAUGUCCUCUUUAAUACCUGCAUUUCUGUAUGUUGUGCUGUUUCUCACAUAAAUCAUGUAAUUUUAAUGUUAUAAAUCAUUGCUUAUGAUACUGUUCGAAAUAGAAACCAGCAAAUCAAACAUAUUAAAUGGAAUGCCAUUCGUGAAAUAACUAUAGAUGAUUGUGGCAAAUGGGGAUUUAAUGAAUGUAAAAAAACAUGUAUAUCAUUAAAGCGUUUAUCAAAGAC